GACGAACGCUGGCGGCGUGCUUAACACAUGCAAGUCGAACGGAAAGGCCCUGCUUUUGUGGGGUGCUCGAGUGGCGAACUGGUUAGUAACACGUGAGUAACCUGCCCUUGACUUUGGGAUAACUUCAGGAAACUUGGGCUACUACCGGAUAGGAGCUCCUGCUGCAUGGUGUGGGUUGGAAAGUUUCGGCGGGUGGGGCUGGACUCGCGUCUUAUCAGCUUGUUGGUGGGGUAGUGGCUUACCAAGGCUUUGACGGGUAGCCGGCCUGAGAGGGUGACCGGCCACAUAGGGACUGAGAUACGGCCCAGACUCCUACGGGAGGCAGCAGUGGGGAAUAGUGCACAAUGGGCGGAAGCCGGAUGCAGCAACGCCGCGUGCGGGAUGACGGCCUUCGGGUUGUAAACCGCUUUCGCCUGUGACGAAGCGUGAGUGACGGUAAUGGGGAAAGAAGCACCGGCUAACUACGU
rnacentral:rRNA from 1 species